GCACCUCGAUGUCGGCUCUUCGCAUCCUGGGGCUGAAGGCGGUCCCAAGGGUUGGGCUGUUCGCCCAUUAAAGCGGAACGCGAGCUGGGUUCAGACCGGCGUGAGCCAGGUCGGUCCCUAUCUGUCAUGGGCGCAGGAAUACUGACGGGAUACAUCUUUAGUACGAGAGGAUUGGGAUGGACGUACCCCUGGUGUGCCAGUUGGACCGCUCGGUCCACAGCUGGGUAGCUAAGUACGGCAGGGAUAAUCGCUGAAAGCAUCUAAGCGAGAAGCCCACCCGGAGAUAAGUAUUCCAUGUCGCAAGACGAGAGACCCCCGGUAGACCACCGGGUUGAUAGGCCGCACGUGCAAGCGCAGUAAUGCGUUCAGCGAAGCGGUACUAACGGUCGAUUGCUUGGCCUU
rnacentral:rRNA from 1 species